ACAUGUAGGUAUCUUCCCUUUGGCCUGGAAUAACACGAGGAAACUUGUGCUAAUACCGGAUAAGUCUUCACAGAGAAAGCUUUAUGCACCAUUGGAUGAGCCUGCACUUGAUUAGUUUGUUGGUAGGGUAAUGGCCUACCAAGACUGUGAUCAAUAGCUGAUUUGAGAGGAUGAUCAGCCACAUUGGGACUGAGACACGGCCCAAACUCCUACGGGAGGCAGCAGUGGGGAAUCUUGCACAAUGGAGGAAACUCUGAUGCAGCGAUGCCGCGUGAGUGAAGAAGGCCUUUGGGUUGUAAAGCUCUUUCGUCGGGGAAGAAAAUG
rnacentral:rRNA from 1 species